rnacentral:rRNA from 1 species
CCUACGGGCGGCUGCAGUGAGGAAUAUUGGUCAAUGGGCGCGAGCCUGAACCAGCCAAGUAGCGUGAAGGAUGACUGCCCUACGGGUUGUAAACUUCUUUUAUAAAGGAAUAAAGUGAGGCACGUGUGCCUUUUUGUAUGUACUUUAUGAAUAAGGAUCGGCUAACUCCGUGCCAGCAGCCGCGGUAAUACGGAGGAUCCGAGCGUUAUCCGGAUUUAUUGGGGCUAAAGGGAGCGUAGAUGGGUUGUUAAGUCAGUGGGGCAAGUUUGCGGCUCAACCGGCAAAGUGCAAUUGAUACGGGCAGCCUUGCGUACAGUUGUGGUAGGCGGCAUUCGUGGUGUAGCGGU